rnacentral:rRNA from 1 species
CCUACGGGGGGCAGCAGUAGGGAAUCUUUCACAAUGGGCGAAAGCCUGAUGGAGCAACGCCGCGUGCAGGAUGAAGGCCUUCGGGUUGUAAACUGCUUUUAUAAGCGAGAAAUAUGAUGGUAACUUAUGAAUAAGGAUCGGCUAACUACGUGCCAGCAGCCGCGGUCAUACGUAGGAUCCGAGCAUUAUCCGGAGUGACUGGGUGUAAAGAGUUGCGUAGGUGGCAUAAUAAGUAGCUAGUGAAAUCUGGUGGCUCAACCAUUCAGACUAUUAGCGAAACUGUUAAGCUCGAGACCGUUAGGGGUAACUGGAAUUUCUAGUGUAGGAGUGAAAUCCGUAGAUAUUAGAAGGAACACCAAUAGCGUAGGCAGGUUGCUGGGACGGUUCUGACACUAAGGCACGAAAGCGUAGGGAGCAAACGGGAUUAGAUACCCGAGUAGUC